AGGACGAACGCUGGCGGCGUGCUUAACACAUGCAAGUCGAACGAGAUUUAGUGAGUAGCAAUACUCACGAAGAUCUAGUGGCGAACGGGUGCGUAACACGUGAGGAACUUGUCCCGGUCUCUGGGAUAACAGUUGGAAACGACUGCUAAUACCGGAUGACGUCGGAACUUCGCAUGGAGUACUGACGAAAGGGUUACUGGAUCGGGAGAGCCUCGCGGCCUAUCAGCUUGUUGGUGGGGUAAUGGCCUACCAAGGCAUCGACGGGUAGCUGGUCUGAGAGGAUGAUCAGCCACACUGGGACUGAGACACGGCCCAGACUCCUACGGGAGCAGCAGUGGGGAAUCUUGCACAAGUGGGACGAAAGCCUGAUGCAGCAACGCCG
rnacentral:rRNA from 1 species